AGGAUGAACGCUGGCGGCGUGCCUAACACAUGCAAGUCGAACGUCCUGUCUCGCAAGAGGCAGGGAGUGGCGGACGGGUGAGUACCACGUGGGUUAUCUACCGUGAGGUGAGGAAUACCGGCGAGAAAUCGCCGACAAGACCGCAUAGCCUCGGUGCAAGCCGAGGAAAGCUUUCUCGAGAGAGGGAGCGCCACACGAGGAGCCUGCGCCCGAUUAGCUAGCUGGUGGAGUAACGGUUCACCAGGGCGACGAUCGGUAGCUGGUCUGAGAGGACGAUCAGCCACACUGGGAUUGAGAACGGCCCAGACUCCUACGGGGGCAGCAGUGAGGAAUUUUCGUCAAUGGGCGCAAGCCUGACCGAGCAACGCCGCGUGGAGGAUGACGGCUUUCGGGUUGUAAACUCCUUUUGCCAGGGAAGAUACGGACGGUACCUGGCGAAUAAGCCCCGGCUAACUCUGUGCCAGCAGCCGC
rnacentral:rRNA from 1 species